rnacentral:rRNA from 1 species
UACGAGGGGGGCGAGCGUUGUUCGGAAUUAUUGGGCGUAAAGGGUGCGUAGGCGGUUUGGUAAGUCUUGUGUGAAAUCUCCAGGCUCAACUUGGAGUCUGCACGAGAAACUGCCGGGCUUGAGUGUGGGAGAGGUGAGUGGAACUGCGAGUGUAGAGGUGAAAUUCGUAGAUAUUCGCAAGAACACCAGUGGCGAAGGCGGCUACUGGUCCGG